rnacentral:rRNA from 1 species
CACCGGCCGCUCGAGUGGUGGCCACUUUUAUUGAGCCUAAAGCGUUCGUAGCCGGUUUUGUAAAUCCUCAGACAAAUUCUCCUGCUUAACGGGAGAUACUCUGGAGAGACUGCGAAACUAGGGACCGGGUGAGGUUGAAGGUACUUCUGGGGUAGGGGUAAAAUCCUGUAAUCCUGGAAGGACGACCAGUGGCGAAGGCGUUCAACUAGAACGGAUCCGGCGGUGAGGAACGAGGGCUAGGGGAGCAAACCGG